AUGGAGUAUGUGCAUAAAGAAUUGAGUUGGAGAGGGCAGCUACUUGGCUCAGUAAUCUGGUCUCAGACAUUUCCUACCUAUGUGACCCUGGACAAGUCACUUAACAUUCCCCCCCACACACACACACACACACUGCGCCCAUUGCCUUCACUUUCCUGCUCUUCUGACUUGGAGCCAAUAUACUAUUCUAAGACAGAAGAAAAGCAGAUGCAGUAUCCUGAAGUUUCUGAAAUUCUAAACCUGGAAAGGGUCGAGGGGAUCGUUAUAGGAGAAAGAGAGGGAAGAAGAGAGGGAGAAAAAAAAUUUGUUAUUGAUCACCAAGAUUUGUUUUCUUCUCUCUACAUAUGGGUCAAAAGAAUCAACCUCACAACAAAAGAUGGUGAAGGCAUAGCUAUGCAAAAAUUAAUCUUAAGAAGAUCUCAGCUUCUUGGAGGACAGUGGAUCAAGGAGUCAGCAAUGUGUCAUGACAAAAACAAGGGAAAAAAAGAAUAUAAUGCCAUUAUAGGAUUCAUUAAGAAAGGUCUUAGAAGAGUACCUGACAUGGCAAAGGUGCUAAGUGCAGGCUUGCUGACCGAUUGACUGAUUAAGCAAAGAACUGGAUGAGAAAAUGCAUACCCACUAUGAAGGAUGAAACGGAAUAGGGAACACAAAUGUAAUCAAAUAUUAUCUCAAUAUAAGAGAUAUGAAAAAGUUAAAGAAACCUCACAAGGCUUGUAUGAAUUGAACUGAAUAAAGAAGACAAUUUGGGAAAUGGACA
rnacentral:lncRNA from 1 species